AGUUCUGGCAAAGCAUGUUGAAGUCUGAGAGUCAAACUCUGCAUGCUUUCUUAACAGCUACAGGAAUUAUACCAUCAUGGUUGGCUCUGCUUCACUUGGCAUUGAGAAGCCAAGAUUACUGCCAAAAAUAAGAUGACACAAAUACAGCACUGUCUCCUCCCUACCUAGGUCUUGGAUCACGAAGCAUGGCAGCAUUUAUGUUCCAGGAUAGUACUUGAAGAACACGCUUCACAGGGACACAGGCAUGUUGGGAAUCUUACCUGUGUGUACAAGGAAUAAAAGAAAGUGCCAGUCAUUACGUCACGCUGCAAAGCUGUGGUCAGUCUCAGCCCAGUUAUGGGCACUACAAAAUUACCUGCGACAUGCAUGGAGAAGAAUUUUUUAAAACAUCAUUCCAAAGAAGAAUUCUCUCAGCCUUUCAAAUUGAAAUUGGUUAGAAUCCCAAAGUAUGAAAGUUUUCAUCCUGUUCAAAAUAUUACUUUUUCCUAGAUUAGGGGUGGAUGUUCUCAUUACCCAGAUAAAAUGUUAUCUCUUUUUCUAAGGCUCUGAAACUCUUGAGUGCACUGAUAUUUCAUGACAGCCAGUUUCACAGGUUAAUUACAAACUGUGUAAAAGUAUAUUGCUUUUCUAUUUCAUCAAACAUUUUCAUUCUUGUAUUGUUAGAGGAUAAACAGGAGUUUCUUAUUGACCUUCUCUGCAGCUUUUCUUGUUUUAUCUGAAUCAAAUAUAUUCCUUCUGAAGCAUCUAUUUCUCUCUUUUUUUUCUUUUUCUUUUUUUAAAUUAAACAGCCCCAAUCUUCUCCACUUCCUCAGCCCCUUAGAAACUGAUUGUAUUAUAUACUCAUUUUCUUCACCUGUGUUUGAAUAUAUUUUAUUUCUUAUUUCUUAUUUCUUAUUCUCAGUCUUCUGCUCUGGUAGUCUUGGUCUGACAUUACCAAGAAAGGCCUACAUUGGGUAUUUAAGGUAUCCAAAAGAAUUAAAAAAAACACAAUUCCAAUACAAAACAAACAAACAAACAAAAACCACACAAAAACAAACAAACAAACAAAAAUCCAACCAACUGCAGCAUGCACUCACUUUACAGGACAUUAUUUUAAAAUCAAAGUUCAUCAGGAUUUUCCACCUGAAGAUCCACAAUUGCAGACACUUUAGGCCAUGCAUUUCUCAGUCUCCUUCAUAAUAUUCUUCUGAUCACCUCCCCAGCCUGAAGCACACACUUACUGCAUCUUUCUGCUGUGGCCGAAGCCAGAUGGUACAGCCCAGUACUUUCCUCCAUACAAAAUGUAUGCCAAGAAGACAGACAUCUUCCUUGAGGUUUAUGACCCUCUUAUAACUAUAGUAGUUUUAAUUAUGAACUUCCCAUCAGUCCUUAGGGUAAUGCAAGCAUCUGGAAGAAAGCCCAUCUUCAGAAACACAACUCAUCUGAUCUUUGAGAGUCCCUGUGAUAGAGAAAUACCACAUGCAAUGGUGGAGGACAAUUCAAAAGCAGAUAUGCAAAUGUUCACACAGUUUCCUUGAAGGCGGUUAAGAUACCUAUCUAUAAAGCCAAGAAGUGACUGUGAGGUUGAGCCAUCAGUGCCAGCUCCCAAAGAGAAAACGUGCCAAGAGGAAAUUCAGCAGAAAUAUGGUGUACCAUGUUCAUAUGAAAGCAAAUCAGAAAUAAAUCUUGUUGCU
ensembl:lncRNA